rnacentral:rRNA from 1 species
GACGAACGCUGGCGGCGUGCUUAACACAUGCAAGUCGAACGGAAAGGCCCUGCUUUUGUGGGGUGCUCGAGUGGCGAACGGGUGAGUAACACGUGAGUAACCUGCCCUUGACUUUGGGAUAACUUCAGGAAACUGGGGCUAAUACCGGAUAGGAGCUCCUGCUGCAUGGUGGGGGUUGGAAAGUUUCGGCGGUUGGGGAUGGACUCGCGGCUUAUCAGCUUGUUGGUGGGGUAGUGGCUUACCAAGGCUUUGACGGGUAGCCGGCCUGAGAGGGUGACCGGCAACAUUGGGAUGGGGAUACGGCCAAGACUCCUAGGGGGGGAAGCAGGGGGAAUUAUGGCAAAAGGGGCGAAGGCCGGAUGAAGCAACGCCGGGGGGGGGAGGACGGCCUUCGGGUUGUAACCGGCUUUCGCUGGUGACGAGGCGUGAGGGCGGGAAAGGGGUAAGGAAGCACCGGUAACUACGUG